GGGAAGGCUAGGCUGGGAGAUUAGCGCUCUCCUGUUACCGUAGACACGCUUCAGACGGAGCUGAAAUCAAGAGAGAGGCAUGAGCCUUAACCGUUAGUCUUGGACUGGACAAUGAAACUCUGUCCUUUUGGAUUAUCUUUUUAAGGAACUUGGUCAGGAUGGGAACAUAGCAGCCAUAACUUAUUAAGAUGAUGCUUAAAGGGUAGCGGAGUCUAGGAAAGCUCAAGGUCAACUAGCAGUUAUAACUCGUGUCCAUCUCUUGGUAUGCCUUCCU
rnacentral:SRP_RNA from 1 species